rnacentral:rRNA from 1 species
GAUGAACGCUGGCGGCGUGCCUAAUACAUGCAAGUCGAACGCAUUGUGGUUGAAAUGAUAUGAAGAACUUGUUCAGAUUUGAUUUUCAACAUUGCAAUGAGUGGCGAACGGGUGAGUAACACGUGGGAAACCUACCUCUUAGCAGGGGAUAACAUUUGGAAACAAAUGCUAAUACCGUAUAAUAAUUAAAACCGCAUGGUUUUAGUUUAAAAGAUGGUCUUGCUAUCACUAAGAGAUGGUCCCGCGGUGUAUUAGUUAGUUGGUGAGGUAAUGGCUCACCAAGACAAUGAUACAUAGCCGAGUUGAGAGACUGACCGGCCACAAGUGGGACUAGAGACGACGGCCAUACUCCGUACGGGAGGCAGCA